UGGAUAAACAUCUUCAAACACAGGUACGCUUCUUCCUCUUAUUCUUCUUCUUCUUCCUCUUCUUCCUCUUCCUCUUCUUCCUCUUCCUCUUCUUCUUCUUCUUCUUCUUCUUCUUCUUCUUCUUCUUCUUCUUCUUGCUGCUGAGUUCUUGUUUGAUUCAAACUCUAUGGUUCGGAUUUGGGUGCUAACCCAAAACAAUUUGCAUUUUCUUUUUCCACUAUUUGUUGUUUUUACUUAUUUAUCAUGGAUAAAACUCCUUUCCUUUUUCUUUAAACAAACUUAUUAGCACUUUUUUUUAUAAAAUUAAUAAUUUUAAUUAAUUAAUAAAAUGUUUACAAUCUCAGGAUUAGUGUUUAAAUAAUAACUACCUGACUUAAAAAAAAAACCUACCUAAAAUUUUGAAUUAAAUAAUAACAUUACUAAAUGCAUAAGCAAUAAUUUUUACACUUUAGAACUCAACAAACAUAUAAAUUGAAAAUCGGACUUUGAUUUAAUGGUAGGGAAGAGACACAAAAGUGAUCUAAAGUUCAAAUCACAGCAAGUCCAAAUUACAUUCAAAUUAUUUUAAUAGAUUAGCUUGACUUGAGUUAUUUAAUUCAAUAUUUAUAAUGAUUCAUUAUAAUUGUAAUUAAUAAAUAUUUUAGUAAGUUGUAACUUAAAAAAAUUUAUAUAAAUUAAUAUUUCCUAUUAAUUAUACUUGACAACUUCUCGAAUUAUACAUGUUUUUUUACAUGGAACAUUUUCAAUCUCAUUGUAGGGUAAAAAAAUCAUAAUAGUCCUUAUACUAUGUCAUCGAUUACAUUUUGGUCCUUCUAUUGGAAAAUAGGUAAAUUGGUCUUAUGUAUUAGAUGAAGGAACAAUGCAGUCUCUCUAUUAAAAUUCUCAUUAAAUGCUUAUUUUGGUGUUUUAUAUAUAAAAGCUUAUUGAAAAAUUUAGUCCACGAUUUUUACACCUUUAUUUGAUUUAGUCUCUUUUCCUAACGUAACACUAGUUUAUCUUAUAUUCCACACCAAAUUUAAUUUAAAAUUUAAAAAAAUCAUAAAAAAUUAUAAUUAUAAAAUUUAUAAAAACAAAUUCUCUAAAGAAGCUCUUCAUAAUUUAGGAAAUUAUAGUUUUUAAUUAUGAUUUUUAAUGUUUUAAAAAAAUAUGUUAUUUGUCGACUUAGAUAUCAAGUUAAAAUAGUGUCAUGUUAAAAAUGAAAGAUUGUGAGUUAAAUUGGUCAAAAUAAAAUAAUAGGAAUCAAAUUGAAUAAAAAUGUAAAAGCUGAGAGCUAAAUUUACUAUUAUACCCUAUAUAUAAAACACCAAAAGAAACAUUUAAGGGAUAGAUUUAAGGGAUGUAAUGUAUAAGAACUAGUUUACCCAAUUUCCAGUAAAGGGCCAAAUGCAAUAUGAGAUAUAGUGUAGAGACUGCUACAAUAAUUGUCCCAUCUUUAGCGUUUUGCAAUGCAUACACCACGGUCGGUGCAUCCAUUUUGUAUUUUAACAAGUAGUAAUUUAGAUUGACUGUCCUUUCCCCCCCUUAAUUAUAUACAUUAAUGUAUUAAUAAAAAUUUUAGAUUCCAUAAGUAGGACUAAAGCGUUAAUAAGUAUUCUAUAAAAGUAUAAUAAAAUAUUAAAAAAUAAAUAUUUAAAAAAAGAAACAUAUAAUAAUUUUUUAAGACUACUUGUAAAAUAAAAAAUAUAUACUAUUAAUAUAUCAAAUACUCACCAUGUUUGUAUAUUUUCAUAUUAAAUUUUGCGAUUAUAAGUAAAUGUUAAUUCUUGAUCUUGUCUAGUUAAUUAUUUCGUUAUUAGUAUUAGAAAAGCUAAAUACAAUAUAAGACAUAAAAUAUAAUAUUCUUUAUAAAUUAAUAUAUCAAUAAGUAAAUAAAUUGUUUGUAAAUAAUUGAAUAACCUAUGUGAACUCAUAAUAUUUCUUUCUACAAACAGCUUUUUUGGUUAAUGCACUCUUAUCCAUGAAUUUUAAGAGAAAACACAUGUACUAGAUUAUAUAUAUAUAAAUAAUCGAAGAUAGAUUAUAUAUAUAUAAAUAAUCGAAGAUAACAUUGAGGCUUUUAACGAUACAUUUGGUUCAUUCAAAUUGAAUAGAGUUAUAAUGGAAAAAAAAUUUGUAAUGAAAUAGAGCUAUAAUUAGUAAUUCACACUACAGCAAAACAAGUUUUUAGGGCAUUUUUUUUGCUUAAUAGCGGCGCUUAUAACAAUUUGCGGCGUUUUGAUAAGCGCCGCAAAAAACGCCGCUAAAUUUUACAGUGUUUAUGUGAGAAAAUGCUGCCAAAAAAACAUGACCUUUAGCGGCGCUUCUCAUAAAAACGCUGCUAAAGUCUUUAGCAGCGUUUGUAGGAAAACGCCACUAACUUUAGCAAAAUUUACCAAACCAUUUUAAUUCAUAUAGAACCUAAAUUUUCAACAUAAUUUUCUAUAACAUCAAAUCCAACCAAAAACUUCAAAUCUAAAUGAUACUAUCACGAAAGAAAUAUGUAUAUGAUCUAAAUUAAUAAAUGAAAUAAAAAAAUAUAUUAUAUUCAAAAGUUAUAUUGUUAAGAUAUUCUCACAAGAAAACAAAAGUUUAAGGUAGCGGAUUCUGCGACUACUGAAACAUCUUCAUCAUAUUCUGAAGCUGUAGCUGUAACAUCCCGAUUUUGGGCCUAGUCGAAACAGUGAUUUUGGGACCACGAAUCUGAGGUUGUAAAAUUAUUUUAAUAUUAUUUUUAGAGUUUAUAUCAUGUGAAUAUGUAUCUGUAAAAAUUUCGUGAGCUAAUUUUAUCGUUUAAUAGCUCAAUUGGAGAAAAAUGACUUAAUCGCGUAAAAUGCGAAAGUUGCAUUCUAUUAGUAAAGGUGUUCAAUAGCUAUAGAAAUUAAAAUUUGAGGUCCUUAAUGAGUAAUUAUGCCAUUAUAUAUGUGUAUGGCUGUACAUGAAGAGUAAUAAAUGAAAAAAAAAUAAAAAAGUCAAAAAUUGAGUAGGGUUGGUAUUUGAUGACAUUAGCUAAAUGAAUAAAAAAUAAAAUCAAAGGGCCAUAUUUCUUCUUCAUCUUUCCACUGAAAAUUGACGUGAAAAACCCCCAUGGGAGCCUGAAAAUUUUCAGCACAAUAAACCUCUACAUGUAAGUCAUUUUGAUGGUUAUUUUUGUUGAUUUUUGUGUUUUUGGAACCCCUAUAGCUUAAUCUAGCUAAUGAGGGGACUAUUUUGCACUAUGGUUGAAAGUAUAGGGUUUUUACAUGAGAGAAUUAAUGUUUUUUGCUGAAUUUUUAUGGAAUAAAAUGAAUCUUGGUUGUUAAAUAAACAACUUUUUUUAAGUGAUUUUCAUGAAAACACCUAAAGAGGACCUUUUUGUAAAAGUUGUAAAAUAGGCGGUAAAUGUGUAGAAUAACUGAAAUUGUGAGCUGUUAUAAGUUUAAUAAAGGUUUGGCUAGGCUUGCGUAGUGAGGAAAUUUGAUGAAAAUCAUUUUACGAGCCUAGGGGCUAAAUUGUAAUUAUGUGAAAGUUUAGGGGUAAAAUUAUAAUUUUUCCAAAAUAUGAUUUAUGGGCUAUUUUAAAUAAUGUGAUAAUUAAAUAAGUGGAAUUGGCUAUUAUAGAUAAAGAAAAACGGAGUCCGGGCUUAGAUUAGGGAAAAGGCAAGAUCAUGGACUAAAUCGAACUAGUUGUCCAUAUUUUGUACCGAGGUAAGUUUUUGUAUGAUUGAUACAAAUUUUUAUUAUGCAUUUAUCAUUUAAUGUUAUAUGAAUUGUAUAAUUGUCUUCGUGAAUAUUAUUGAUAUUGUUCGAUAAAGAUUCGAGGUGAUAAAAGCCGAUUGAACCUUAGGAAUAUUUAGGGUACAAGUAGUAUGACAUUUGGGUUGAUGAGGUCACGUAUAAGACCAUAUCUGAGAUAUGGCAUCGGCAUCAGUAUGAGUUAUCAUGUAAGACCAUAUCCGAGAUAUGGCGUUGAUACGAGAUUUCAUGUAAGACCACGUCUGGGACAUGGCGUUGAAAUGAGAAUUUGUAUAAGACCAUAUCUGGGAUAUGGCAUCGAUGUGAGAUCCCAUGUAAGACCAUGUCUGGGACAUGGCAUUGACAUCUUAUUGUGUAUGGUGAUUCCGAGUAUCCUUAGUAUUCCAAGUGGUUCAACGGGUAGCCCAAGGAUGUGUCAAAGAAAUGACAAUGUAUAAUCAUAUUAAAAGGGUACAGGUAUGUACGCCAAGCUUGUAGUUAUUGAGAUUUUGAAAUGAUAAGGCUUCGGUAAGAUGAGAAUGAAGGCAUUACGAUCUUGAUGUUCUAUUGAACCUUAUGUAACUUGCAUGAGAUAGGAUAUGACUACCAUGAUUAUUGAAAACAAGAUGAUUUAAGUUUUUUAUGUAUGUGUAUGAAAAUGCAUAUUUUUUUAUUGCUUAUUAAUUAAAUGCAAGCUUACUAAGUUUUAUGCUUACCCUCUUUCCUUUCCAUUUCCUUUUAGUAUCGCAAAGCUAGCUUAAGGAUCAAGGGAUAUUGGAGGCUCAUUCACACUAUCGAUUGGAUCUUUUGGGUAUAGCUAGUCUCAACAUUUUGAAUAUGGCACGUAUAGGGACUUGGUCCUUUUGUUAUAUGUCAUACUGGUCUAACCAAAUGUGUUGGCUUAUAAUGGUAGUUGAAUCAUUUUGUGUAUGGCCAUGAGAUAUGGCUUAUGAUGAUUAUUGAGUUGUAAACCUAUUCAUCUAUGUAUGUAUGUGCCAAUUCCUUUAUGAUAUGGCCUAUGGAUAUUGAUG
rnacentral:lncRNA from 1 species